rnacentral:tRNA from 1 species
CAAGAUGUAGUUUAUUUAAAAAUUUUGGCUUUGGGAGUCAAAGAUGUUAUUUUUAACUGUUUUGA